GUGGAUGCAGGCCAGCUGAGGCUAUGACUUAUCCUGAUUAAGCUGCUCUAAAGUCCAAUAGUCUGAACACACUCAACCCUUCAAAGCCGUUAGCACUACUGCUGGAGUACUUGCAGACCCGUUGGCCAGCUGCUGAAGAGAUUGGUAUGCUGCCUGUUCAGCUAAUGAGUCUGAAAGCGGAAGUGUUAACACUGUGCUGUUUUUCAUGGUGAGGAAGCAAAUGGCCAUCGUUGGGAGCUUAGAAUAUACCUGCCGUAAUCAAUGUCCCCUCUUUUGUCCCUGGGCUGCUCAUCCCCUGUGGCCCCAAAGGUGCCCUGCGCCAUCCGUUUCCCAGGACGAGGCAGUCGAGGGGAAGUCACUUUGGUCCCAAGUGCGUUCUUCCUCUUGAGAAUGGAAGAGUCAGAGCGGCUUUUGCCUGGAGUCCAUCGACUGUCUCCAUAAGGAUGCAAACCUUUCACUGGCAAAUGAGGACAUCUCUCUUGCAUGGAAUUUGUUGCCUGAACAAAAGUGGCCCCCUCCCCCGUGGAACCACCAGCGCUGCAGAAGGAAUACUGAAAUAAUGCCAUAAUGCUAAAUGAUUCAAACAUCCCUGCAAACUGAUCUGGUUUUUUUUGUUUUUCUGUAAAUUUACACGUUUAAUUUGAAUUUCAAUCUCUUUGCUUGUCUAAAUUAAUAUUGUCAUUUAUAUUGCAACCCUGAUUCUGUUGCUAGGCUGGGGAAGAUUAGACAGGUGAACUUGAUGUGCUUAUCCAUGCAAGUGAUGCAUGGAUACUGUGUGCAUGAAGACUGCUGUGAAGGAGUGGCUUUCUCACUUCUGCCUUGUUUGAACUGAAGACCUUGGUAUAAAGCUGCAGAAUUUGCAUGAGCUGGAAAGAAAAUGUUCUUGG